CUCCAAAGCAUCCUUGGUGGGGAUUAUACCACUUACGCCGUAUCACUGAGCACUGUGUCUGCCCAAUUAAAUGUGAGUAGCCAUUUAGUAUUUUUAUACACUCUCCUGGUUUUAUCACAGUGAGCACUAUUGUUUGUUAUGUUACAUAUGGUCCCCAUCUGACGAGAUAUCUACUUACAACACUCCCUCGUGUAUCUCAUAAGUGGGGAAUAUACCACUGUAUGCUGUUUAUACUAGAACUAGUUUUUAGCUCUCAAAAAUGUGAGUAGGACCAUAUAUAUAUAUAUAUAUAUAUAUAAAUAUAUAUAUAUAUAUACUGUGUAUAUAUAUAAAUAUACCUAUUAUUAUUUUUAUUGUUCUCUCUCUGUAUUAUAUAGCAUUGUUUAUUUCUAUAUUACUACUUGCUUAUAUUUAAUUGUACAGAUUAUCUCUAUGGUGCCACCAUUUUCUACUUCCUUAUACCUAUAUGGCCUGUAAGGUAGCCCUAUCCUUUAGGUGCACUGCCUUUAUUUCAGUGCUGAUUCUUCUGUACACUUUUCACCAGAUCGUGCUAUGUAUAAUAAUAAUUAAUCUUACUAAAUCUGGAUCCACCCUCCUCUGUAUGAUAUUCAUAUGAUAAGCAUAGGCAAACAAUAAUUCAUUAAUGAACAACAGCAUUACAACGAGAACAUCAUAAUGUAUAUCUCUUCCUCUCCUGGCUCUGGUUAGUUAUACCUUUAUCCUGCGUAGAUUGAAGAAUGUAAGUACUUUCAUGUCUGUGUUAUUAAAAACAGAAACCUCUAAUACACAGCAUAUAAGGUGUACGAUAUGCAAAGAAAAUACAAUGAAUAUGUACUUAACUAAACACCACCGGAACAGAAUGUUUGUUGCCAACAUUCAAUGAUUAAUUACAACGUUCUUUCUUAUUUACAUGAAUAAACUGCUAAUAUUGAAAUGGGGUAAAUUUACAAAAUCAUUUCUGAGAAUUUGCAAGAAAAUGUUCAUUUCAGGCCAAAAAAAACUGAACUGCAAAUUUAGAGGAAUUUUAGGUUUUUAUAAAUUUCCUUGUGCUAUUAAUAAACUCCAAAUAUCUAGUCAGAUUCCAACAUAAUUUCAUUAUUGUCUAUGAUAUUCGUUAUCUAUAAAAAUGUUUACACUGCAGCACUUUGAUGUCUUCAAAUCAAGAUUUUUCGUCUGAAAUAGUUAAAUAGUUAGAUAAUAAACGUUUAAAAACUACUGACUUGUAUUUGAGUGAAACAUUUAUAAAAUGUCUAAAUGUAGUGCAAAACGGGAAUUUGAUAUAUAGAGAUCUCUAUUCAAAAAUGCAUAAAAAUAUAAUAUAAUAAUGUAAAUACAAGCAAAUUUAUAUUUUAAAUACAUCUAUAUGGUAUAGAUCUUACUUCACAUUUAUUCUGACAGAACCAUUUGCAUGCAAAUUGGCAUUUUACAAAAAACUAAAUAUCAAGUAUGUGAUAAACUCAAUAAUUUCAUCAUAAGGGUGAAAUAUUUUGCUUACAGUAUUUUUAAGAAUUGCCGUAGUAAGCAAAAUACAUUUGAGUAGAAGAAAGGCUGUAAGUUGUAUUGUGCGUGCUAGAGCUAUAUAAUUUUUUGUGUUUAUGCAUACCAUUUAUAAGUUCAGUUUUUAAAAAAAAAAUGUUUUUUAUAUAAGUGUUUAGUAUUUUUUAUUAUGUAUAUAUUUUUAUUUAAGUUAUCUGACCUUAAAUAGGUCAUGGUAUUUCUCAUGCAGAUAUAGUUUCUACUUUAUCUAAAAAGUGAACAGAAUGUAUCACACAACAAGUAUGCUUUUAUAAAUGUCAUUUUUGUCUCCAAAAUUUAUUUUAAAUGCACUUGUCAAAGUUGUGGAGACACAUUUACUUCAAACGUGCAAACGUUUUCAAUUCUUGGUCCUGCUUACUAUAAUGAUUUUAAACCAAUGUACCUUAAAAACAAUAACAGGUGUAAUGCCUUUAGUUUUCCUGUUUUUUUUUUUCAUAUUAAAACACAUGCAUUGAAAUAGUUUAACAUACUUUAUAUUACAAAACAAUGUUAUCUCCAAGUCUCAUGUGUCUUAUACAUGAACUCUGCAUCGAAGUCAGGGUUAUUCAAUAAACUCUGAACUGUAUCGAAUUAAAAUCUAAAUUGCAAACGUUCAACAAAAAUUACUGAUCUGAUAAAAAUUUUCCAACUUAGCUUUGGUCACAACUUGUCUAUUUUAGACCCAAUUGUACAAGUUAGAGAUUGAUUUGCUACAAUUCAGAGCUUAGUGAAUGGUCCUUAGUGUAUUGUUACAAGGUUGUAUUUUUGAGCACUUAACGAAGACAAUUAUACAUUUAACAUGGUGGCAGGAAAAACUAUUUGGUUUUACUGAACUUGUAGGCAGACGCCAAUCCUAAUUGUAGCUAUAAUUACAAAAUGCUGCCAUUAACACCAUAUUGCCAAGUAGUGAUGUCCCGAACGGUUCGCCGAUAGGUUCGCCACGGAUGGCGAACAUAUGCGCUGUUCGGUCCGCCCCCUAUUCGUCAUCAUUUAGUAAACCUUGACCCUGUACCUCACAGUCAGCAGAUACAUUCCAGCCAAUCAGCAGCAGACCCUCCCUCCCGGACCUUCCCACCUCCUGGACAGCUCACUAAGAAUGCAGCUUCACAAUGAAUGUAAAAUGGAUGCUAUCCAGGAGGUGUGAUGGUCUGGGAGGGAGGGUCUGCUGCUGAUUGGCUGGAAUGUGUUUGCUGACUGUGAGGUACAGGGUCAAAGUUUACUCAAUGAUGACAUAGGGGGCGGACCGAACAGCGCAUAUGUUCGCCAUCCGUGGCGAACCGUUGGGCGAACUGUUCGGGACAUCACUAUUGCCAAGUAAUUCCAUGGUAGAAAAAGUUAAGUUUAGUAUGCCACAAUAAUUAAAAUAUUUUUGUUAUAGUAUUAAAUUUAUAUUGUAUCAAUAAUUGACUUAUGUUAUUUAUUACAUUUAUAUCAUAUUAAAGUAUUAUUUUACCAUAUGUGAUGCAACUAAUUGUGCAAGCACAGGACAAAUAUUGUGGAUUUACGUAGGUUCGUCUCCAAAGCACAGGAGAAUUUAUUUUGAAAAUGUGCCUUCUACCAGAUGUGUCCAGAGUGACUUAAGCUAAAUCAACAUUUGAUAAAUAUUUAAAUCUAAUAUUUAAUAUAUUUAUAGUUACAUAUAGUAAUGUAGUUUUAAAAAAAGAGGCCAUUGGGUUUAAUCCAUCUUUUAUUACUUAUUUUAGAGCAGACAGCUGAUGACAUUUAACCCUUUCACUUCCAAGCAGUUUGCAAAAAAUGUAUAGAAUCUCAGAAUUUUGAGAGCUCCGGAAAGUAAUGUUAUAAUGUAUUUUUCAUUUCAAUAUGCAUGGGUAGCACUUUAUAUAAUGGAAAUAAAUAAUGGACAGAAAAAUGUUCAAAAAAUAACAUACCGUAUAUUAAUGAAUAAAAAAGUGCUAUAAAUAACAUUCCUGAAUAUGUAACAUAGUCUAUUUCCCCCACAUAUUCUAUAAUCCUCUGAGAUAGAGACACACACACACACGAAACAAGGGCUGCAAUCACCUGUAGUCGAUGUGUGUUAUGUUUAUGGUGAGGCUGUUCUUUGCUUGUGGGAAGUUACUGUGUGUGUGUGUGUGUGUGCACUGUUAGGGGGAUUAAUGUGACAGAAUAAGUGUGGCGGAGUGAGUGUGACAGAAUUGGGUGGGGAAGUAUUUUAGGGUUGGGGUAUGUGUGAUGGGAUUAUUAGGGUGCAGGGUACAGGAGUGAGUAUGGCAGGGUGAGUGUGAGGGGUGACUGUGUGUGGGGAGGCUGUGUUUCUGUUUCUUGUCACCACGAAAACUGAGCAACAUUUUUGUUAGCCUUUCCUGAUUGAUUUUUGGGUGACAAGGGAGGCAAUUAUUUAUUUAUCCAGAGAUGGUUUUCCUGGUGGUUAUGUGGGAGUUGAAACAGGUCUUUACCCAGCCGGAGGUGCAGACCUGCAAGAAAAGCAGUGGCCAGAGUGAUAUAUAAAUCUCACCACUGGCACUUGCAUCCCAGAAGAGCUAGCUCUGUAAUUGUAGCAUUGUCUUUGUGUCUGGGAACCCAAAUGGGACCAAUUGAAAACAACACAUUGUUUGCAUAAAACGAAUGUCAUUUGUAAUAUUGAAAAUCAUGUUUACACAAUUCCAGGAUAGUGGUACAUAACAUGGGAAUUGUGUAUACACGAAUUCUGUAGUGAAGUGGUUAAUCAGAUGUCCUCUUUGAUUGAAUAACUGAUUUUAAAACAGAUUUGACUUUAGCAAAUGUAGCACUUUCCAAAAUCACACAUAAACAUUUUUUUUGUGAUUUAUUAGAUAUAAAGCUGUACUAUUAACAUACUAGUCAAUACAUUGCCCAUGGAUCCUAACAAAGUUUCUAGGAAUUCCCAAGAGAUAAGUUAUUAGAGUGUGAAUUCAAAGUGAUUUUUAAAAUUAGCCCCUUCACUACCAAUAAGUCUACGGAAAAAAAAAAACACUUCCAGAGUCCGAGUAAUUUUGAUGUCCUGAGAAGUAUUGUUUAAAUGUAUUUAUCAUUUCUGUAUGCAUAGAUAGCACACUAUUAAAUGAAAAAAAAAACAAAAAAAAAACACAGAUAAUGAAGCUACAAGUAUGGAAAUAGUGUAUAUAGUAAAUAUAUACAUAUUGUAUAAUCUUGAUUAUCUGAGCAAGCCCAAUGCUUCCCCACAGGAAAGCAGUGGGAGGCAAGUGCGCAUGCAUACCAAGUCGCUGUGCUGAACCAACUAAAUACUAUUCUAGUCUUCAGCAUAGGAGUUUGUGUUCCUAAGUUUUUUUGUUUGUUUUUUCUUUUAAUUUAAAAUUACCUAUUCAAUGUGUUACAUUUAUUUAAAAUAAUAUUGAUAAAAGUAAAUUUUUUAUUAUUCACUCCAAGUCCUUCUAUAGGUCUUCUAAAUGUCAGUAUUUUGUUAGUUAUGCAUAGUAGAUCUUUAGGUGAGGACUGCACUGAGAGAACUAAUUUGUCGUCGGUUUCGUUUUUUGUUUUUUUUACACAUGUACAAAACAUUGUCUUUCCCUGCUACUUUUGUAACCCUAAUGCGUACUAACAAAGCAAAAGAUUAUCAAAAGAUGAGAGGGGCGUAUAAUGGGCAGGAUCCUGGUUUGGGGGCUGGUUGACUGACUGGUCAAUGAAAAACUUAAAACAUAAGUAAUAUCAUGAGUCUAUAGCCCUACAUUUGGACCACUUCUAUACCAUAUCUGUGAGUCUUUAAGACUUUACAGUUUCCUUUAUUUAAUUAAUCUUUUUUAAUCCAUUUUGAAUUAAAUAAAUAUAUUUUUUAACAGAUUAUCACAAUUAUUAAACAAUGUCUUCAUUCUUUUGAGGUUGGACUUCCUCGAGGAUAUGUCCCUUGAGAAGUGGAUGCUGAAAUUAUUGCAGUCACUUAGCAUGGCAAACGUUGUACUACAGAGCAAAGAGCUCUUUAGCCAUCCACAUUGCAUUUAAUGUAUCUGUUAAACACAAAUUAGGGCCCGGCAAGCUGAAUAUUUGCCAAUUUGGACAUAUCAGGCCUGUAUUACUGUAACCCAUCAGUAAGGAAUUAGAACUGCUUUUAUAGAGAGCCUAACACAGGUAAGAACAGAUAGCAUUCUCUGAUAUAAUGAUGAUAUUGUAACUUCUUCAACAUUUCUCUGUUGCAGGGCAAGCCUGUAUCUAAAAAAAUGGAUUCUGUUCUUUUUACUUGUACUGCUUCUAUUCUCGGUGUCAUGCAUCUGGUGAGUAUAGCUGGUUCUGAAGGCUUUCCCAUAUGUUCAGCUGUUUUUCCUCCAAGUACUUCAGUAAAAGUAGUGUGAUCAAUUGUGACUGGUUAUUUGGGAAGUCCACAAAGGUAAGUGAAUACUACCUUUACCACAUGCCAUCAAAGUAACCUUAUAAAAAAAAAAAAAAAAUGAUGUGGUUAUUUAACAAGCAAUAAGUUGUCUUGUGUUUUUGAAAAGCAAGGUCAUUAAAACGUAGCCAUGAAGCCUCAUUUAUCUUGCCCUACUCUACAUUGUAAGAAAUUAUGACCAUCUUACAAGGAUAUUAUUUUAAGGAAUGUGCGACAAACAAGACACAAACACAAGUGUAUAAUAAAAUGUAUUGUCAAUAUUGAUUUAGAAUACUGUUACAGAUUUAAAAAGGAUUUACACAAUACACAUUAUAACCAAUACAGUACAAAACCAAAAGGUACAUAGAAAAGGGCAAUACUUAAACAUUUAAAUGAAGAUCUUCCCCUUGCGCCUUCAUCUUGGGUAAUCUGGAACAGUCUCUCUCAGUUUACCAUGGCACCUGUGCUUGCUGUGCUGUCCUCUCCAAAAGAGACAAAGAGAGAAAGAGAGGAGAGAGUUGAGGAGCCCUACCUCCUUGGCUGUUGUUCUUUUAUAGACUGAUUCUUGCAGUCAUUAACUACAAGUCCCUGAAUCCCUUUUCCCUCCCAAAAGUGGUUUAUCCAGCCCCCUUUUUCCAGAGAGUUCUGUCUUUACACAAGUCUUUCCCUUUGAACUCUUCCCUCCAGCUAUACUGUAACAUUGUGUAAGAUGUGACCAGUUAUCGUUGGUUUUUGGGUAGGUUGGGAGCAAGCCUGGACUUCUUUUAGAGACAGGAUGGCUUGGAAAAAAACACUUCAGUGGGUACACCUAGAUGUUCAUUACUCUGAUCUUCUGAUACCAUGAUUUGUACCCUUUGUACCCAUUGAUGACAACCUCCGUUAAAAUAUAAAUGGAAUUCCAUUGUGAAACCAGAUAGCUUAUUACACAACUGACUUUCACAAAGCAUAUGUCAAUAAAUUAAAAUAGAAAAUAUAAUUUUUAAAUGCACCCAAUUUCUUACACAUUACUAAACACAACUCAGUAGAGCAAUUAAUUUAUUUUCCAAGCCUCAGCUUUGAGAGGGAUUGCAAAUGCUUCCCAAGCCAUUUCCCUGCCAUACUGUACAGAAGCCUUUGUAGGUCAGCCUACAGGGUUUAUUAUGUAGAAGCUGAAGUAGAAAAGAGCAGAUAAAGUACUACUUUAUGGUAACUAUGUAUAGUGAAAAUGAACAUAUGGGUUAAUUAAAACCUCACCCAGAGGUUCCAUAGUAUGAGGUAGGACUUAAAUCAAUAUCAAUAGACAAAAAAACACCUUGUUAAACCUCGAUGGCCCUAGGGUCACUGAGGUUUAGGAUCUAUAAAAGGGGAUAUGUAUAUAUUGGAUGUGCCAGUAACAAAACAAAAUAAAAAAUGGUCUUUAUUACACAUGGAUCAAUCAAUAAUAUGUUUAUGAUAGUACAUACAGAUACAAAUUGCAGGUUUCACACCUAACUAGGUGAACUAAAAAGCUGUAUUUGAUGGGCUCUUCAAUCUAUAUAGCUAAUGGAUAGCAUGCAUACAACAUUGAAUAUCAAAUCCAAAAUACCAACAGAUGAGUUGAAAGAAAAAACAGCUAUAUAAGAUGUAGGCAAUACAUAAAAAUAUAGGCUGAACAAGGGAUGAUGCUAAUGAAGGCACAUGGAACAACAAGCUAUGAUAAAGUAAUAUUUGGCCAAGAUGAUGCACUGCAGAUGUGUGUUACAAACUAAACAGUUGACAAAAUGCUGCCCAUUCUUUGCUUGGACCAUGUAAACAUUCUAUGAAUAUUCUUGCAAUAUAAAUGCUGUCCCUGAAUAGGUUAGCAGCAGAGAUACUUUGAUCUCCCCUGUCGUCAUCGGCACAAGACUCUUGUGGCCCACCAGGCAUUUCCCCAGUUUACAGUACUGCCGGUCCAGGCCUGCUGUCUUGUCAAGUCACACCAGCAGCUGAUAGUGGGUGAUAACUUUUUUACUGUUAUAUGAAUCCCCUUUUUGCUUGUCUAUAUUAUGUUGUGGUCAGAUGAGCUUAUUACGCGAAAACUUGUGAAGGCAGAUUAAAGUGGCACUGUCACAGUUUGGGUACUGUGCCGAAUUCUCAAAGUCCCCCAAAGGUGACAUCAAAGCUGGAGGUGGAUGACAGCCAGAGGAAUUGACACUGAGGCUCUACCUGGGGUCGAGAAAAGUCAGAUGAAGGAGAAAUACAGAGACAAAGUAGUCCCUACUUUGACUCUUUAUAUCAACUAAAGUAUCAUUGGUAUGAGUGAGAAGAUAAAAUGAGAAAAACGUAUCCUUUGCAAUAUGGAACCAUACUACAAAUUAUCUGUUGUGAUAAUGUGUUAUAAUUCUUAAUGGAUACACUCUGAUAUUUUAUGUUUUAUGUAAUAUAUAUAUAUACACACAUAUACACACUGUAUAACUAUAUAAUUUUGGGUGGAUGCCCUUAUCCACGUUUCCCUUGUUUUUAUUAUUGAAAAAAAAAAUCUUAAAUUCUUUAAUAAAAACUAUUUGAAAAGAUUUAAACAUUUAUCCCAACAGGGCUGGCGCGUCCAUAAGGUGGCACAGACUACCGACUUAGGGCGCACUGGCUCUGAGGGUGAAUUUUAGGGUUGUUUUUUUUUUUGCAAGUGCAAGCAUGGUCUUAAAGUUACUUACAUCUCAUCUCUUGUCUCCAUACAGAUGUCAUAUAGAAGUUCCUCUUUCAAUGGAUUCAGGAACUAAAUUGUGUAGAUCAAGCUUUAAUAACCCAGUCUCAAUCUAUGUUGCUGACAACAUUACUCAAUCUUUGCAAAAGCCAUAAGAAACACGUUAAUUGGCACUGUAAAAUUAGUUUUCAUUUAUAGAUUUUUUGGUAAGCAAAUGUAAGUCAGUUUGCUUCCCUGAACUCAGAGAUUGUAAGUUUGUUUGAGCAGAUUCAUCUUCAACUCUAAAUACCCCCUUUGUAUAAUUGUAAAAUGCUGCAAAAUAUGUUUAAGUUAUAUAAAUGCUAAUAACAAUAGUAUUAAUAAUAACGAAUGUCAUGAACAAGUCAAAAUCAGUCUGACAAAUUACUUCAGACAAUUUAUAUAUAUCUUGCCCAAAGGCACUUUCUCAUUUUGUGUAAACCAUGUUGGGUUUGGCUUUUUCUUGGCAUUCUCAAGAUUUAAUUUACAUUUGUGUAAUCCAUCCUUAUCCAUCCAAGAUGAGUUACUUCAGAGCCAAUUUACUAACGUUGUGCCAAAAAUCACUUCCUUAUUUUUUUAAAAGCAUGUUAGACACCAUGUUCUUGGCAAAGCUUUGACUUACAUUUACCUAAUUCAUGCUUACAAAAGGAGAACAAAUACUGAAAGGACUCGCACAGGCAGAUUUCAGUUUAACUUCUGUUCUUUUCAGACUUUUAUUGCUUGUCCUGUACACUAUCCACUGUUUAAUUCUUCUAGGUCAAAAGUAAUCAUUUAAUGAAAAGUGAAAUGUGUUUUUUCUUCUUCAGGUACACGUCUAGAACCAAUGCUUGGCAUCGUGUCUUACUAUUUUCAAGCAAUGCAGAGGAGUGAGUAGUUUUACAGUUCUGCAAAUAAAAUAUUUCUUAUCUAAUCUAAGAUUUUAAUUCAGUUUAAUGACCAAUCCAGGUGCCUGUUCAACUCUGUAUAUCAUUCCUUUCCUUAACCCGUUAGACUUUCCUUAAAUUAAGAAUACUCAUGAGAACAGAUGGAGCAAUCUCGACCAUUAAAGUGAUUCUGUUCCCUCAAACUUACAUUUCUCCUAUUGUUUCCUCUUGCCUUCCUCUUUCAGAAUCUGUUUUUAUUUUCUUCUUGUCUCAUCUAUUUCUCUUUAAAACCAUUUAUACUUUAAUAGUUGAUGCAUGGAGGCCCACAAUAGGAUUAUAUACACUGAUCAGCCAUAACCUUAAAAUCACCUACCUAAUAUGUAGGUUCCCCUCAAACUGCCAAAACAGCUCUGAUGAAUCGAGACAUGGACUCCACAAGACCUCUGAAUCUGUCCUGUGGUAUCUGAGGCCAAUACAUUAACAACAGAUCGUUUAAGUCAGCCUUCGUCCCAUAGGGCAUAUUGCUGCCAACUGUUCCUCAUAUAAGCAAUGCAAAUGCACCCACCUAUUCCUUGAUCUAAAAGAAAAUUUGAUUAAUCAGAUCAGGCAACUUUCUUUCAUUGCUCCGUGGUCCAGUUCUAUCACUCAUAUCCCCAUUGAAGGUGCUUUCGGCAGUAGAUAGGGGUCAUCCUGGGCUCUCUGACCAUUCUGAAGCUAUGCAGCCCCAUAUGUAGUAAACUGCAAUGCAUUGUGUGUUAUGACACCUUUCUUUCAUGGCUAACACUAAAAUUUUCAACCAAUUGAACUACAGUAACUUUUCUGUAUGAUCUGACCAGCUGGGCUAGCCUUCCAUCAUGUGCGUCAGUAGGCCUUGGGCUCCUAUGAUCCUGACGCUGCUUUACCAAUUGUACUAACCACUGCAAACCGGGAACAUCUCACAAGACUUGAUUUACUUUGUGUUGUUAUGACCCAGUCGUCCAGCCAUCAACAUGGCUCAGAUCUUUUUUCGCUUGCCUAUUUUUGCUGCUUCCAACACAUGAAAUUUAAGAACUGACCAUUCACUUGCUGCCUAAGAUAUCCCACCGCUUGACAUGUGACAUUGUAAUGAUAUCAUUAAAGUCAUUCACUUCACCAGUCAGUGGUUUUAUCGUUGUGGAUGAUCAGUGUAUACAGCCAACGAGGAUCCUGCUAACCAAGUAGACAUCCAAAACAGGUCCACAACGGCUGGCCAACAUUUUCAUUUACAUAAUGUGCAAAAUGGUAACUGACACAAUAAUUGGAAUAUUUGCAGUUUAUGUGAAUUCUACUAGAGUUAAAAAUCAUACUUUUUGACUGAAAAAUAUGAUGAAACUAAUAUUCUGAUUUAAUUUGCUUUCUGUUUAUUUUUCAAUAUCAUCAAAUGCUUGCUGCUGAUGUCAUGGGGCAUUUUGUUUAAUAUCUCAUAUAAUUAUUUUUAAACCUGUUGUUACAGUGUAUCCAGUGCAGACCAAAUACAAGAACCAAAACUUCUUCAACGGUAACUUAACAUCUGAUAACACAAAGUAAACAAUGAUAUUAUAUACUGGGGCAAUCACCAGGAGUAUGGUACAAAUGAUUCCUUGUACUAUUAUUUAUUGAUGCUACACUAUACUAUUUGUAUGAGUGUAGCUGAUUCCACCACAAUAUCAUUACUGUCCAUAACUCUGUCUGCUACAUAGUAACACUGGGAAUCACAGCAGUGGCUGUGUGAUCAUAUUAUGGCACCCACUACCAUGAAAGAUGAGGGUAGCAGGAGGGAAAGCAGUGCUGCCCGGUGUACAUCUCUCCUGUUGCUCCAACACUGUACACCAGGGACUGCACAGAGUGCUUCUACUUCCGCCCUCUAUAAAGUAAGGAGAUAGGUGGAUAAUAAAAUUAUAACUUGGUAAGUGGUGGAACUAAUGUAAAGAGGGCUAUGGUGCAAGAUUUGUUUUUGCCCCCCUGCGCAAGUGUGGCACAAAGGUAGAUCUCCAUCUGCCAUACAGCUCCCACAGUGCUAUGCUAGCUGGGGAUCUACUAUUUGCCCACCCUUGCAGGAUUGUAUAUGAGUAGUGUUUGUGCGUUUUAAUUAAAUCAUGUUUUUGUAUGGAGGAUGUGGGUGCAUGUAGGGGUGUAUUUGUAUGUACUGUUGCCAUUGGAUUGCAGUGGUGUACUUGUGUGUAGUGUUUGUGUUUGAAUGCAGGGGUGAGUUUGUAUGUAGUAUUAGCUUGUCAAUGCAAGUGUACUAAUGUGUGUAGUGCUGCUGUUUGAAUAAAGGGGUGCUUGUAUAUAAUUUUUUGCACAGGGGUGUUUUUGAGUGUAAUGUUUGAUUGCAAAGGUGUGUUUGCAUGCAGUGUUGGUAUUUGCUUGUUGGGAUGUAAGCACUUCUACACAAAUAUUGCCACACAUGAAAAUAUAUACAUACAUGCAUAAUUACACAGAAACAUUGGCACACACACAAAACACACAUAUACAAAUACUGACAUGCACACACUGACACAUACAUAUAAACAGACUGACACAUGCUUAGUACAUACACUGACACAUACACACACUGACACACACAAGCACACAGAUGCUUACACACACAUACACACAGACACACACAUUGACAAAUAGACACUUAAACACAGACACAUACACACAGAUACACACAUACAUGUAUUAAUUUUUAUAUUUAUUAUAUUUUAUCCUUUUAUGUUAAAGAGGGUGGCUUCUUUGGGGUCAUGGUACUGGCUGAGUCUGAUAGGAGUGUGGGUCUCCCCAAUUUUGCCUGUUCUCUGCCUCCCGCUCGUCUGUUUCCCUGUAUCUGGGAGGGUGUGCAGACACUCACUUCCUCCCAGCAUCGUGAAUAUAACAGCAGUCCAGUAGCACUGUUAAAGGUCCUCUGCAUCCAACGGAGCCUCUGUUCAGUAAUACCAUAGAGAGGCACAUGCACCUAGGAUCACCCAAUGGACCACCUCUGCAUACCAGCCACACGAACAGUAUUUCCAUCACUGAGCUUGUGUGUAUAUUAGUCUAUAUUUAUGGAUGGAUGUUAGUUUGUGUUUAUACAUGUGUAACUAAGUUUGUUUGUGUGCUCAUGCUUUUCCACUUUUGUGUGUAUGUGUUUAUGUAUGUAUUCUAUGGUGUGUAUCUAUGAAUUUCUGCUAGUCUGUGUCUGAAUGCAUUUUAGUAGUUGUCUCUGUGUGUUAGAGUGUGUCUCUGUGCUAGGGUGGAUCUACGUUCUAGGGUGUGUCUAAGCUAUGCCUCCUAACAGUCCCACAAAGGACCAUCUGCUCAGAACCCACUAUCCCCAAACGACUGUGUAGUCUGAGGGUGGGAACUCUCCAGCCACUCUCAGAAACUUCAAACUGCUAGAGCACUGUUGUUGCAAAUAUUUAUUGCAAAACUAUGUUAAUACAUAAUAAAGGAAUCUAAAAAAAUAUUGGUCCAACACAUAUCUUCCUGUUUAAGACUUCCUUAGGUACAAAAUAAAAUCACAUGCAAAAUAAAAAGCCGAACCACUCAUGUCAUAAACUCUCCUGAUGGAGUUCCUCUUUAAAUAUUCCAAAAUCCCCGCUCCCAUUGAUGUUUCAGUGAGUGUGUCCUGCAACUCCACAAUGUCCAUCCUAUCCUUUGCCUGUACUUGUUUUAAUUAGGUCAACACCCUCCUCCAGUCUGAUCCCAAUCGUUCCAUCCCCAUUUUCUGCAAAUCAAUCACGUGUGUUCCAACGGUACUAAGUGCAUUAAGUUAAUAAUUUAUUGAUUUUGCAAUUAUACUGUAUUUAUAUUGAUAAAAGUGCAAUAAUCUUCUUUUCAAAUAUUUUAUAAAUUUUUUCUAAAUUAUUUACAUACAAUAUAAUACGAAAUGUGUUGAUAUCUUCAGAAAUUAAUUAAUUCAAAAUAUUGACCGUUCACCUUUUUUAUUCAUGUCUUUUAUAUUUUUAGCCAUAUGUAAAUUUAAACAAAACACACCAGGUCCAUAUUGGCGCUCAAUCCAUUUAUCCAUUUUUCUGUAUGAGGAUAAACUUGUUCAAAUUCAAAAAAAAAAAAUUAACCCCUUAGUGUCCAGACAGUUUUUCAAUUUUCUGUUUUGGACCAGGGCUGUUUUUACAUUUCUGCAGUGUUUGUGUUUAGCUGUAAUUUUCCUCUUACUCAUUUACUAUACCCACACAUAUUAUAUACAGAUUUUCUCACCAUUAAAUGGUCUUUCUAAAGAUAACAUUAUUUUUAUUAUAUCAUAUAAUACUAUAAUUCUUUUUAUAAAAUAUGAUGAAAAAAAGGAAAAAAACACACUUUUUCUAACUUUGACCCCCAAAAUCUGUUGCACAUCUACAACCGCCAAAAAACACCCAUGCUAAAUAGUUUUAAAAUUUUGCCCUGAUUUUAGAAAUGUUAACAUGUUCUUAGCUUUUUUUUGCAAGUUAUAGGGCAAUAAGUACAAGUAGCACUUUGCUAUUUCCAAACCAUUUUUUUUUUCAAAAUCAUCGCAAGUUACAUUGUAACACUGAUAUCUGUCUGGAAUCCCUGAAUAACCCUUCACAUGUAUAUAUUUUUUAAACAAAGACAACCCAAGGUAUUAAACUUUGCGUAUUUUGACUCUAUUCAUGCUCUUUUCAUGCAACCAUUUUACCACCAAUCAAUGCCAAAUUUAAAAAAAAAAUUAAUGGUGAUUCUUUUUGACACACAUAGCAAUUUAAGAAUACAUGUACUGAGAACUUUAAGGGAUACUGCCAAAGAACACCCCCAAUAUGUGUUCAGAAACAUCUCCCGAGUACAGUGAUACCACUCAUGUCAUCAUGCACCCAUGUCCUAUUUGGGACAUUUUUUCAGCCAGCCACUGUAAUUUACCCCCAUUGAACCAUAUAUUUUUGAAAAGUAGACACCCUAGGUUUUUCAAGUGGGGGUACAUUAACACUUUCCGUGCACUAAUUCUACCACCAGUCUUUCCCAAACCUUUGGGUAGUACAUUGUUUGUGUUAUUUUUCUCUCACAUUGUACUUUAGGCAUGUAUUCUCAGUUUCUGUUAUGUGUUACUGACAAACACCCCAAUAUGUAAUCAGCAACAUCUCCUGAGUACAGUGAUACCACCCAUGUAUAGGUGUGUCGGUUUCUCUGGGAGCUAAAAGACCUUAUUUGGAGGGUGCACAUUCCAGUUUUCCAACUUGGAAUUUUCACAGACAUUUUUGAAACAUUUUUGAAACAUUUUUGAAACAUUUUUGAAACAUUUUUUUUUUUUAUAAUAGACAUCGCACGGUAUUCAAAAUGGGGUAUGUCCACUCUUUUUUAGUAGCCACUUAGUCACAAACCUUGGCCAAAAUUAGCAUUUGUAUUUGUUUUUUGCAUUUUUUACACAUAAACUGAAUUUCACCGAUGAUAUUAUCAGUAUAAUUCAUUUUACUGCUCUAAAAUAAAAAUUAUUUGUGUAGAGUAAUGUCUCAUACGUACAACAGUACCCCUCAAGUAUAGGUUUUAUGGUGAUUUGGAAAGUUACAGGGUCAAACAUAAGAUUUGCCAAUUUCUAUUUUUGAAAAUUGCUAUUUGCCAGAUUGUUGCCUUUGAGACGGUAUGGCAACCCAGAAAUUAAAAACAACCCUACCUUGACAUACCAUUUGAAAAAGUAGACAACCCAGGGUAUUCAAAAUGGGGUAUGUCCAGUCUUUUGUAGUAGCCACUUAGUCACAAGCACUGGUCAAACUUAGCAUUUAUAUUUGUAUGUGUGUUAAAAAUGCAAAGUAAAGUAAAUGAAAACAUUUUGGUGAUAAAUACUAAAUGUAUAAUCGUGGUAUUGGUAUUGGUAUAAAAUAAUUAGGAUUGGUAAUAUGAGCGGUAUGUCGCAAAAUCGCGCCAACCGCAAGUGGCUGAGUAAUAUCAUAGACUGAUAUAAGUAACAGAAGGACAGAGAUAAAUCAUAUGGUUGAUGAUUAGUUGGGAGAAGGAUAUAAACAAUACAGAAACACCGCGGGAGCCGCGAGGUAAAAGGGUGUAUGGGAAAUGUAGUCCCUUUAGACGAAAUCACGUCUGAGUUACAGGACAUGAUGGGAAAGGGGCGGCCAUUUUGGAUAAGGGCAAAUGUAGGCAAGUGCAAAGGUUCUCUAUGAUAGUGAUAGAAAAGGCGAUUUAAGCCUAAAUUAAAGGGAAAUAAAGAGGCAAAUGAUGUGAAACAGAUAUGGUAAUAAAAUAGAACUCCAUAAAAAUAAAUAAAGGGACAGAACUAUUAAGACAUCAAUUUGUACACAGAAUAAUAUAAACUUAUAAAAACAAAUAUAAUCUACAUAUACAAUAGUGUAUAGAAUAAUGAAGGUUAGCACAUAUAUAAGUUAUAAAAAAUUUAAAAGAUUAAAAUCAAAAUUCAAGCAUUUUGGUAAUAAUGUUUUUAAAUUAAAAACCCAUUCCAUUUCGGUUCUACCUAAAACCUUUUUUAUAUCUCCUCCUCUCCAUGGGAUUGCACAUAUGUGGAUAGCUGUAAAUUUUAAAGCACAUGGAUUUUUUUGAUGAUAUGUUAAAAAAUGUUUGGAGACCGUAUGGAUGUCAUGCCCACAUAUUGGAGGCCACAAGGGAAAUCCAAUAAGAAGAAUACAUUUUUUUUUGUUACAGGUAAUGAAGUCCAUUAUAUUGUAUGUUUUGUUAGUAACAUUUGAUCUAAAUUGAGUGGUUUUGGUUGGAACUGACCCUUGUGUAGUUUUACAAACAAUACAUGUUCUGCAUUUAAAGAAACCUUUAACAUUUGAUAGGGUAGAGGGUUUGGUUGUCUUGUUUUUUGUAUAGGUUUUGGGGAGAAGGGAUUUGAAAAUGGGGGCACCUCUAAAGAUAAUAUUUGGUUUUAUAGGGAUGAUCUUCUUUAGAAUAAUCUUGUAAUAGGAUAUGCCAGUGUUUUUGGAUUAUUUUUUUGAUAUCUCUAUUUUUGUUAUUAUAGUCGAAUAUAAUUAGAAUGGAUGUGUUGGUCUUUUUCUUUUUGGUACUUUGAUCUCUAUAUGUGAGAAGACUAUUUCUAUCAUUGGAUUUUAGUUUCGUGAUUAUAGAAUUUAACAUAUCUUCCAAAUUAUUUUUUUCUAAAAACUUGUUUUUUUAAAUGGUGGUUUGUUCAUCAAAAUCUUCUGGUAUAUCGCAAUUUCUUUUUAGUCUUAAAAACUGGCUUUUUGGGGCACUCUCAAGCCAGGGGGUAUAAUGACAUUUUUUUUUUGAUCAAUCACUGUUAGUGAUGUCCCGAACGGUUCGCCGAAUGGUUCGCCAUGAACGGAAUUUCCCAUACUUCCUUUCACCUCGUGGCUACCGUAGUAUUUCUACCGGCCGCAUCUAUAUUGUUUAUAUCCUUCUUCCAACUAAUCAUCAACCAUAUGAUUUAUCUCUGUCCUUCUGUUACUUAUAUCAGUCUAUGAUAUUACUCAGCCACUUGCGGUUGCCGAGAUUUCGUGACAUAUCGCUCAUGUUACCAAUUCUAAUUAUUCUAACCAUUUUACACCAAUACCACAAUUAUACAUUUAGAAUUUAUCACCAAAUUGUUUUCAUUUACUUUUAAAUUUAAAAUGAGCAUUAUUUCUGAAUAUUGUUUUGUGUUGUACAUUUAAUUACUGUUCUGAUUGGUUUGUAAGCUUUGUGUCCCUGUCCCCCACAAGGUCCAUGUGGGCGUAUACCUUGCUUGGGGACUUGCAUAAAAGGCCACCUGUGGCUUCUAUUAAACAGACUUGUUUUACCCUUCAUGAAGUCAAGGCUAAUGUUUGGGGGAUUGGAGAACAUUCACUCUGGGGAUUGCUAUAAUCACUAAAGUCCCCUGUGUAUAAUCACUAAGCUCUUGUAAGGAGAGGACUAGGAGAGGUCUACCUACUGGAAGCUGGAUCCUGGUCUCGGGUCCAGGGUGGGUGGAGGACGGCGAUACCCCAACCAAGCUGCGGCGGUUCGUGGGGUUUAUGGUGGCUAUGGUUUUCCAGCGCAGUGCUUAUGGUACUCGCAAGUAGUAGGAAGCAAUGAUUGACGGAGGUACCCGGUCGGGGUGCCAGGCAGUCCGUCACAUCUAUAUACCUUGGUUAGUUUCUCUACUUUUAGUCUAUAUAUUUUUACAUUCACUUUUACCUGGCACAUCCUACAAACUGAAGUUCCAGCACCAUCACCCAAAGAAUCCUAGGUGGGGAUUGUUCCACAAAGACCUGGUAUAUAGUGCGGUUUGUCUGCUCUGAAAAUUGUAAGUACAUUUCUUAUUACAUCCAGCACUUUUACUUAUAGAGAGCACAAUGGGCCUUCUCUUGUGAUUUUAUGUCAUGUGAUCUACACCGUAAAUACCAUCAGAGGAAUAUCCUACAUGUGGGGAGUUUAAACAACACUGUACGCUGUUUUACCUGGAGCUGGUUAAAGCUCUCAGAAAUAUGAGUUGGCACUUUUUAAACGUAGUGUUGUUUUUUUGCCCACAAUCCAUUUGCCCACAGACUCUGUAACUUUCCAAAUCACCAUUAAACCUAUACUUGAGGGGUACUGUUGUACUCGUGAGACAUUACAUAUAGAAUGUAGAAUGUGUGUGUGUAUAUAUAUAUUUUUUUUUAUAUAUAUAUAUAUAUAUAUAUAUAUGUAUAUUAAUACAUAUAAAUAAAUAUAAUGUAUUUUUUAAAUGUAUAUUAUAUAUGUGUAAGAAUAUAUAUAAUACACACACACAUAUACAUAUACAAUACGUGUGUGUGUAUGUAUGUAUGUAUAUAUAUAUAUAUAUAAUUAUCACACACACGCACAUGUUUUUAUUUCCUAUUUAUCUAUAAUAUAUUAUAAAAUAAUUAAAGCAUUUCAUAACAUAUUAUACAUAUAUAAUGCGUAUGUAUAUGUGUAUAUAUCUCAAAAUACACUUAUAAUUAUUAUUUUAUUUACACUUUUAGGUGUCAGGGGACUAAAAGUCAUAGACUUCCAUUGUGGCCAUGUGAUCAUAGUGAUCACAUGGCCCUGGAGGGACGGAGAGGAUGUAGAUGCUGCAAGGAAACUGCUGGGGUCUAUGGCAGUCCCCUGGACUGGGAUCGCCGGUCCAGGUGAGUACUGUCGGGUCCUUUUAGCGGCAAACGUGCAGGGUACGUCCGGUACAGCACUUCUUAAUGGUGAAAAAUAUGUUGGCCUUAGGGCCAGUACCAUUAAAAUUAAAGAAAAUGGUUGGUGUAUAGACCAGCUCACAAAAAGGCUGCUCACGGACCUUCUGCACUUCUUGCAACAUUUGUUUAUUAAGACCUGGCUGAUAAAGAGACAGCUUCAGAUCCCAUCAGCUGUAUUAUGAAACUCGCUAGGUCAAAUGCAGUUGCAUAGGUUGCCCCAUGUGUGAUACAUUUUUGCUACCCAUGCACUUUUUUUAUUACAAUAGCAAUAUAUAGUCAGCUUGAUUUGUUUAGUGUGAUCACUCCACAGUCAUUUAUUUAAUGGUUGCAUUGUUAAGAUACAGACAACAGUGAUAUUUACUAAAGUGAAAAUUUAAAGUGAAUUUCAAAUUUAAAGAGACACUUCACUGCCCAAAUAUAUAUAUUAUACUAUAUUAUAUAAGAAAUAACAUAAUCACUGUUUAGUAGAUAUAACCUAAUGAAAACAUGCAUGCAUUUAGUUAUGCAUUUUAUUGGUGUCACAUCUUAAAACAGCUUGCAAAAGCUGCAUAUCUCUUGUCCAGACUUUCUGUGGCUGUCCAAUCACAGACUCCCCAAUGCAGCUCAAUGAGAAGUCUUUGCAAGGCAGGAGCUCUGGGCAAUUGCUGCCUCUUGAGUUUAGUUUCACUGAGCUAAACAACCAGGAAUUAACAAUAUCUGUUAUCUGAUUGACAGCCAGAUAGCCAGGGGGUAUAUCAAGGCUAAUUUAUAAAACAACCAAUUUCUAUUGACAUCAAGCUGAGGUGCUUUAGGGGUCUGGGGUGUUCCUUUCAGUCGAGUUUGGCUAUUUUUACCUUAAAUUUUUAUUUUACUUUGAAUUCACUUCGAAUUCUCACUUUUUGCAUAGCCCUGUAAGUGUCUCUUUAUUUCAAACAAACAUACAUAUCACCAAAGCCAUGAUUCUUCUAUGCAUUGGUAAAAUUUGUUAUAAAAAUAAAACAUCUGCAAAAUGUCACCAAUAUAUGUAUAGAUCUCAUUUGUGAUAAUAACAGUUUUAAAUCUUAAUUAAAAUACAAUCUAUUUUUUUUCAGAAUGUUGUAUGAGAAGCCACAAGCUCUUACCCCACCGUGAGUUUUACGUAUUCAAACUUUUAUAUUUUUCUCUAUAUUUUCACUAGCAGUGGUGAUAGUAAAGAGCACAGGAACGAAACUAAACAAGCCAUCAAUUGUGCAUAGUCUCAUACAGAGUGAGGAAUUGUUUCCAUGUUGUGUUAAGAACUAACAAUACUAGGAGUAGGAAAAUUGAGAAAACAUACACAUUAGUGAUGUCCCGAACGGUCCACCGAACGGUUCGCGAACCGUUCGCCACGAACGGUUCGCCACGGACUCGUCAUUGAGUAAACUUUGACCCUGUACCUCACAGUCAGCAGACACAUUCCAGCCAAUCUGCAGCAGACCCUCCCUCCCAGACCCUCCCACCUCCUGGACAGCUCACUAAGAAUGCAGCUUCACAUUGAAUGUAAAAUGGAUGCUGUCCAGGAGGUGGGAGGGUCUGGGAGGGAGGGUCUGCUGCUGAUUGGCUGGAAUGUGUCUGCUGACUGUGAGGUACAGGGUCAAAGUUUACUCAAUGAUGAGUCCGCGGCGAACCGUUCGGCAAACCGUUCGGGACAUCACUAAUAAACAUAACAGAACAAGGCUGAUAUAAGUAAGCAUAUCAUGACUCACUCGGGAGUUAAGUUGGUGACCGCUGCAUAUGUAGCCAGUGGAGACAUCCGUGCAACGAAUUUUGUCACCUUCAUUGGGUCCUAAUGGUGGGCUGCGGAUCCAGCUGCUUGAGGUCUUACUGGCGCCAAUGAAUCCAGCAGGAGUUCCAAUGUAGCUAAUAAGGUUGUGGCUUUGGUCAGAUCAUGUACAGUAUAUUGGGAGUUUCCGUGAAAGAUCAUCAGCCUACGGUCAGUCGCCAGCGGUAUUGAAUGUUGUGCUUCCUGUGGAGAGCUGUGAAUACUCUGAGGGACCUCCGUCACACCAAAGUGCCUCUUGACAGGUCAGAAUAAAAGGUAAGCCAAAUUCCCUCAAAAGUAUAAAGAGCUUGGUCUUUUAGAGCAGUUAGAACUGCUGCUUUAUCCCUGCCAUUGUAGAAGUGGACUAUCAGGUCCCGUGGAACUGCUGCAGGAGCCUUUGGUGAUUUGGGGAAUGCGGAAGCAGCCUUCCAGGCCCUCUGACUUGGCCGUCCACGGGGAUAACAAUGCUGCAAUGAGUCGUCUCAGCAUAUGUGGCAAUUCCUCUGUGGGAACGUCCUCUGGGAUGCCCCGUAUUUUAAUGCUUUUCUUGCGCCGCAUGUCUUACAGCGCAUCAAAACUGUUCUGUUUUUGGAGCCCCAGCAUUGUCUGCUACAUAGAAUAUAGUUGUUGUGUGUGCUCUUCCGUCAUGGAUUCCACCAUAGCAAGCCGGCUUGUUAAGCCCUGGAGACCAGCGCGCAGAGUUGUCACGUUGAAUAGGAUAUUUUUCUGUAAGUCUGCCAGCAGGUCUUUAAACACCGCUGUCGUGACUGGAGAUUUGUCAGGGCUGCUAACUAUUGAUGUUGGGGCCGGUCUGGCCAGCAAAGCACCUUCCUCCUCCCCCAGAGACAGCUCGUCCAACAGGUCUGAGUAGGCCUCGGGGUAGUCGGCCAUUUUGGGCCCACUCGCACCUUGUGCCUGACGCAGAAGGUCUCUAAUGUUGAGGCCCAUUCAAGGUUUUUCAGGCUUCUGAAUUUUGGUCUUUCAACCCACUUUGUUUCCUAUACCCCACUCCUGCACCGGUAGUCGCCCAGAUCGAGCUGUGCUGCCCCAAAUAUGGGUUAAAUAAGUGCAGCUCAGAAAUAAUGCGGCCAUUCAACUAAACUGCUUGGCCACGCCCCUAUCAGUUCUGAUUUUUUAAAACAUAUCUUCAGCUUUGACUUUCCAAGCUCUUUUAUUAAGGCUUAAAUUUUGCAAUUCCCUUGUCUAGUUUACAAAGCUGGGAACCGCUAAUAAGAAAAGGACAUGCAUCACUUGAUGAUAAAACAUUUUAAACCCUAAAAGCAAACACUUUUUUAAUUAAUUGAACAUACAAACCAAAAAUAGGGGGAAAAAAUGUAAAGAGUAUGUAAGAAAUGUUUUUUAAAAAUUACUUAAAACUUGGUAAGAUUGCAUUGUUGGACACGCCUCUCAGCUAAGGGGAGUUUCUUCUGGCUCUGUGUGUAAUAUGUGACAACAGAUAUCACAUAACUAAUAAAUAAAUCACAUCUUCCAGUCUACUGGCAAGUGUGCUCAAAAACAGAGGAGCUUUUAAUGUAGCAUAUUAAUGUAGCAAAAGCUUCUAUAUGCCUCUUCUGACUUAAAGAGAGCCUUCAGCAUACUGUGAUUUGUUGGUUUGUUAAUGGCCUGAUGCAAUUAGUUAUAACUGAAUUAAUGAACCCGGUUUAAAAAAUUGUAUUUAUGCUAAAUAGAACAUUUUUGACAAACUAAGUUUCUUCCUGUCUACUGGUCUAUUCAGUAAUUUCACAUACAGUAAAUACAGAAUGGCAAAUUCUGACAGUUCUGAAUUUCAUUGCAAACAAAUGCCUUAAAAAUGUAAAAAAGUAAAAUUCUUUCUGUACUUAUUUGAAUACUUCACAUGGUAUUCUGGGAUAAUAACAAUUAAUAUAUUUGCCAACUGCAAGAAGAAAAACUUGAAAAAAUUAGAUAAUGUUACAACAUUUUAAUAUAUUUUCCGUUAUUGAACCAGAAAUAUCAUUAAAAACUUGAAUCAAUAAAUCAGUGAUUUCAUACAGAGGGUAAAAAUGUCUAACUCUGCGUGUAUUUUCAAUAUUAUAGAAGAGCAGAUGUGGUGAUGAUGACACCGUGGCUUGCCCCUAUUGUUUGGAAUGGUACCUAUAACAUUGAUAUAUUGAAUGCCCAGUUUAAAUUAAGAGGAGUUCGUAUUGGCCUUGCAAUGUUUGCCAUUAAAAAGUAAGUAAUAAUAAUUCAACAUACUUAAUUAUAAAAUUAGUUUUUGUUUUUUUCUAAAAUAAGAGCAAACAUGCCUCUGGUAUUAUGUGGUUGAAUUACAAGAGCCUGAUAAAGUUUAUUUGUGGUAAAUAUGUGCAAUUCAUUUCGUUCCGAAUGUACAUUUGGAAGAAUUUUGGGCACUUCGGACAUUCGGAUACUUCCAAAUGUUCAAAUUGCCAAAGAGCCGAAUUGCCGAACUGAACCGAAUUGAAGAUGUGUCGAAUUGUCGAAUUGCCGAGUUGCCGAACUGAACCAAAUUGAAGAUGUUUCGAAUUGCCGAAUUGCUGAACUGAACCAAAUUGAAGAUGUGUCGACUUGUCGAAUUGCUGAAUUGCUGAAUUGACGAAUUGAUGCACUGAACCAAAUUGAAGAUGUGUCGAAUUGUCGAAUUGUCGAAUUGCCGAAUAGCUGAAUUGCCGAAUUGCCGAACUGAACCAAAUUGAAGAUGUGUCGAAUUGUCGAAUUGCCGAAUAGCCGAAAUGCCGAACUGAACCAAAUUGAUGAGGUGCUUCAGAUUUCAGAAAAUCCCUAUUUUUGCCAAAUAUUUUCAUUUCUACCAAUGGAAGCUUUAGUGGAUGACCCUGAAUUAAUUAAAAACCAAUGUCAUUUGCAUAGCAAAAGUAGGAACUGCGGAUGUCUCCCCGUUAUACGUCUAAUCUUCAUGUCAAACAGAGAAAUGUUCGGCAGUUGGAAUGCGUGUUCCCAACAUAUAACCUGAGCUUGUUCUGAUGCUGGGCUAUGUGCUGGGUGCUGCAGCGCUGCCAGGUACAGGACAGAAGACAUGGUACCUGCUGUCAGGGCAAACGCUAGUGCUGUAUUAUUAAACAAAAAAGUGCACACAUAAACAAUACAGACUAAGCUCAACACUUAUGUGGAGGAUCCCCUUAACCUUCUCAAACACCAAUAGUCUAGAAUAAAGAGUAUAAGUGGAGCUCUAAAGUACCUGGGUAUAUAGCAGAUAUAUUCAAUGGUAUGCCUUUACAGUGAUCUGUAAAUAAUAUAUAACAUACACAUAGUGCAGAUGGUAUGAACUGUACAUAAAUGUGAACAGGAAAUAAGUGGUAAUUCACAACUCACAAGAGUAGAGCCAACUCACAAGAGUAGAGCCAGCACCUCACGGCUUAAACAUCGACUUCUAAUUGUGCCAUUUUUUAUAAUAGAUUAGAUUAUAUAUUUUUACAGAUUUUUAGAAAUAAGUGUAUACAUAUAUUUUUUUUUCUCUUUUUUAUACAUGUAAGGAUUUUCUCAUAUGUUGAAUUGCACCAUUUUAUAUAAUGGAUUAUGUUAUAUAUUGUUUUAGGUAUUUUUAUAAAAUAGGACACAUAGGUUUUUAUUUUAGUAACUAUUUUAAUGUUAGUAUUUUUUAUAUGGCUCAUUUGCCUUUCUUCCCCUCCAAUAUUUUUUUCUCUCUAGCAUAUCUAAAAAUUACACAUAUGUUCCUUUUAUAUUUAUAUAUAAAUGUAAUGUCAUAGUCACACUAUGGUAAAAUAAGUGUUCUUUUGAUGUAAUUAAUAUGUUCACCCCACUAUUUUUUCAUAUGUUCGUCCAUAUUUUUAAGGGUGGUCACUGGUUAACUUAUAUUUGUGAUAAGUUAUAUUUCUGUUGUUGUUUACAAUUUUUUCUUUUGUGAGGGAAUAUUUAUAACCUGCAAGGACAAAAAUAAGAUUGUCAUAUACCUAUAAGGACCUUAUAAUGAAGGAGGAACGCAUGAAUGCGUUCCACAAGAUAGGAAGUUAAAUCACAUGAUUGCACGGGAACUGCACUUCCGGGUUCGCGGGUGUUAGAACAUGUGACCGGACGGAACGUGUGUUCCAUUGUACGGAAUGUGCGUUCCGGUCACAUGGACGCAAUCAAUCAAUUAUGGAGGCGGACUAUUCACCAACCAACUGAGGAAGCCAGGAUUUUGGCGAAACGCGUUUUGGACUAUAUUUCAAUUUGUUGUGGACUUAUACAGGCCCAUUAAUUUUAUUUUAUGUAUACUUUUUAUAUUGUUUAUUUAUUUACAAUAAAGUGUGGAUCCUUCCAUCAUUGGGACCUUCCUGUCUGUUCCAUAUAUACAAAGGAGGAAGAAACCAGAAGGAUGUACGUUUAGUGGAUGGUUGAUCUCCCCUAAUAAGAUCACAGAGCGCUAUACACUAGAGCCAGGUGACCGAUACUCUUUAUUCUAGACUAGUGCUGUAUUAUUGUCUGCAAAAGGAGAAGAGAGAUCAUAUCACAGCUAGCCCCGUAGUACUUGAAAUAUGCAUUGACAUUGCCCCAAGAUGUUCUAUGGACACGACAAAUCAGUGUGUUACCACAUUAUCAUUUUCUACAGCCAGAUGGUUGUCAGUUACAUCAUGUCACAGUUUAGUGAAUAUAACCCUUCUAUUACAUAGCUCCUUGUGAAACCCCCAUGCAGAGCUCACAAGACUCAAUUCUAAAAAUUCUAUCAUUGGCAAGUUUAGGAAACCCAGGUUUGAAGAUAAAAUUAGUGCUGACUUUCUUCUGCAUUCCAAGCAAGUUCUGCCAGACAAAACAAGUUUUUUUAUUGCUGACCAGACGGCAUCUAUACAUGUAUGGCAUGCUGUAUUGUUUUGUAAGAAAUAUCAUAUAAAGGAACUCUUACUAAUUAGAACCUCUGUUACACAGUAUGUAUAAUACAUAAGUUCCAGUUUAGUAAAUAACCCUAUUUGAUCCAUACAUUAUUAUAACACAGUAUUUAUAAUACACAAUAUUUGAUCCAAACAUUAUUAUAACACAGUAUAGUACACAAUGUCUGUUCUAUUCGAUCCAUACAUUAUUAUGACAGUAUAAUACACAACGCCCAGUCUAUUUGAUCCAUACAUUAUUAGAAUAGUAUAAUACACGAUGCUUGAGCCAUACAUAAUUAUGACACUAUAAUACACUGUUUGAUCCAUACUUUAUUAUAGUAUAAUACACAGUAUUUGAUCCAUACAUUAUUAUAACAGUAUACUACACUGCCCAGUAAAGUUGAUCCAUAUAUUUAUUAUAACACAGUAUAAUACACAAUAUUUGAUCCAUACAUUAUGACACAGUGUUAUUUGAUCCAUACAUUAUUAUAACACAGUAUAAUACACAAUGUCCCUUCUAUUUGAUCCAUACAUUAUUAUGACACAGUAUAAUAUACAAUGCCCGGUCUAUUUGAUCUAUCCAUUAUCAUAAUAGUAUAAUACACAAUGUUUGAUCCAUACAUUAUAACACAGUGUAAUACAGUGGGAGCCCUAUAGAUAUGUAAGUGGUUGUGGUGGCAGUCUGGGCACUGGGAGCCAUAGAGAUGUGUUAGUGGAUGUGGUGGCAGUCCGGGCACUGGGAGCCCUAUAGAUAUGUAAAUGGUUGUGGUGGCAAUCCUGUCACUGGGAGCCCUGGAGAUGUGUAAGUGGUUGUAGUGGCAGUCUGGGCACUGGGAACCCUAUAGAUAUGUAAUUGGUUGUAGUGGGUAGGUUUAGGGUUAAGGUUAGCGGUUAAGGGUUAGGGAGCCCAACAGAUGUACAGAUUGCUGAAGUCCCGAAUUGCCGAAGUGACGAAUUUCGAAAGUGUCGAAUUUUUUUUACUUAACCGAAUUUCCGAACCAAACCACAUUUUUUGCCCAUGCAUAUCUCUAAUUUGUGGUGUCACAGCAAAUGUAUAACACAAUGCAAAUUACUAUCUUGAAUAUCUUUUCCACUACGCCUGAAAAAAAUCUUCUAACUGGAUUGAAAUGUCUCCUAGAAUCCACAAUGUUAUUAGAAUUUUAAUAAAUACACUAUUUCAGUUUCCUAUGUGUAAUACAUUACACAUUGUGUGGCGAAAAAAGGCACAGAACACCAACAUCUAAACCUCAUCCCAACUGUGAAGUAUGGUGGUGGGGGCAUCAUGGUUUGGGUCUGCUUUGCUGCGUCAGGGCCUGGACGGAUUGCUAUCAUCGAAGGAAAAAUGAAUUCCCAAGUUUAUCAAGACAUUUUGCAGGAGAACUUAAGGCCAUCUGUCUACCAGCUGAAGCUCAACAGAAGAUGGGUAUUGCAACAGGACAAUGACCCAAAGCAUAGAAGUAAAUCGACAACAGAAUGGCUUAAACAGAAGAAAAUACACCUUCUGAAGUAGCCCAGUUAGAGUCCUGACCUCAACCCAAUUGAGAUGCUGUGGCAUGACCUCAAGAAAGCGAUUCACACCAGACAUCCCAAGAAUAUUGCUGAACUGAAACAGUUCUGUAAAAAGGAAUGGUCAAGAAUUACUCCUGAGCAUUGUGCACUAACCACUCUAUGUAUCAGUCAACUAUAGAAACUUACCCAACAUGACUGCUCAGACUGAUUAAAAAAAGUAACAUUUCUCCAAAAUUAAAUGUAUAUUAUUUUUAAAAAAUCAUAACGUUUCAUUAAAUAUAAGACACUUUUAAAAAACAGAAUUAAAACUUUGAUGACAGUUGUCCUUUAAAAAAUUGACACUUUACACAAAUCUAUAAAAACAUGCACUCUCAGUUAGGAGAUUUUGCCAUCUUACAGCUGAUGUUAUAUAUCUUUAUAGCAAAAUCACAGUUAACUUAUUUAUGUAGAAACUUUAAUUUUUUUUUUUUAUUCAUAACUGAUUUAUCCAUCUAUGUCCUUUUAUUUCAGGUAUGUAGUGUUCCUUAAACAAUUCAUAGAAACCGCUGAAAAAUUCUUCAUGGUAGGAUAUAAAGUCAACUAUUACAUACUCACCGAUCGAGUCGAGGAGGUACGCCAGUACAAUUUUAAACUUGGUGAAGGGAGACAGUUAUUUACCCUACAAUCUCCCACGUACAAAAGGUGGCAGGAUAUCUGCUUCAGACGCAUGGAGAUGAUUCGCAAUUAUACUCGUGACAGAUUCAUCAAUGAGGUUGACUACCUGGCUGUGGCGGAUAUUGACAUGCAGUUCAGUGACGAUGUUGGUGUAGAGAGCUUAAGUGAAUUGUUUGGGACCAUACAUCCUGGUUACUAUAACGCACCUCGACAGAGUUUUACUUAUGAACGCCGGCCACAGUCUAGAGCCUACAUUCCACCUGAUGAGGGGGAUUUUUAUUACGCAGCAGGUUACUUUGGGGGUACAACAGAGGAAAUAUACAAAUUGACCAACUACUGCCAUAAUGGCAUAAUGGCAGACAGAGAGAAAAAUAUUGAAGCACUAUGGCAUGAAGAGAGCCAUUUAAACAAAUACUUUAUUUAUUACAAACCAACAAAACUCCUUUCACCUGAAUAUUUAUGGGACAACCGUAUGGGUAUCCCAGGAUUCCUUAAAAGACGAAGAUUUGUUGCGGUUCCAAAAAACCAUAAUGAAAUCAGGAACAAAAGGUCAAUCAAAGAAAAACAAAGAGCCAGUAAAAACGCUAAACAUUAAAAUAAAAAAAUAAGAAGUUUUGCAAUACUCUGCGUAUUAUCUCUGACACCACUGCCCCAUUUUCCAUAUUCUAAAAUGUUGAUUACUGCAGGUAUUACAGCUCUAUUUUUGACCCUAUUGCACAUGUCAUCGGAAAGUACUGAUAGUGCAGCUAAUAGCUUUCAGGAGUUAAAACCAGGUAACUAAACUAUAAUGGAACGAAAAACUGUUUGCGUGUAUAUAUUAAGUUUUAACAAACCUGCUGUAUUUAAAUAGCAUUGUAAUGAAAGAUCACUAAGCACUUUUGAAAUGCCACCUUUGCUUAUCCAAAUCAUUCUUAAAAAUGACUUGAGGAUAGAUUGCUUCACUUUAUGUUGCAUAUUUAAUGUGGAAACCACGUAAAGCUAUAAGGCUAAAUGAAACAAUGCCUGAUCUAAUAGAUAUGUAUCUAAAAUUAGAUUAUUAAUUUCUAGUAUAGCUAGCAAUGGAAAAUAGUCAAGAUUCAUAGUAAAAGCCAUAUACAAUGUGUUACAUAGUUUAAAAUCACCAAAAUAUUUGUCAUUCACAAAUCCCAAGGGGUUGAUAAAAUCCCUAAAGUAGCACUGAUUAUUAUUAUCUCUGCAUUUGUUUAGAAAUUGCUUUACUUACGCAUUAAGCAAACUUUGUGUGUGGUCAUGCUGUUCGUAUUUACUCGUUCGUAUUUUCGUGUUUAUUUUGCAAUAGUCACUGCUGAUCGUUUGGGUUGCAAAGGUCUUGUUCCAGAGUCUUGUUUAGAAUAUUAAUCUGUAACUAAGUAAUUCUUUUCUCAUAUGUGCAGGUUUUCCAACAUUAUAUAUGGUUGGUCUCUAACAUUUAUUUGCAUUUUCAUAUAUCGUUAAUAACAACAGAACAGUGUGCUAGGCACUUCGCAAAAAAAUUAUCAAAGCGUGUCGAAAAAAGGUUAUGAAUAGUAUAACUGAUAUAAUAGUGAUAAUAGUGCUUUCCCAACACUAUAAGCAUAAAUAUUGUAUGCACGGAUAUUUAUUUGUAUUUCUAUAUCCUUAAUGUCCCUGUAUCAUGUAAACUCUUGCUGGUGGAUUAAUGCCAAGCAGGGGGAAAAAUAAAAUUUGAAUGGUCACUUUUUUAAAUUUAAUGUUAUGUUUAUCUAUCCCUUAUAGUUUAAAAUAUGUAUUUGUAGAUUGGGAAAAAUAAAAAUGAAAAGUACAAAUCUGCAUCAUUUUAUCGUACUAAUGAGCGCCUCCAUUUUGACUCCCUGGCAGUCAUCAUUAUAAGCUCUGUCCUCUGCACCUUACAAUCAGCACAGAGAAUGCCUAGAGAGAAGAGCAGAAAUUAAACAAUUAUCUUGUUUCUCCUUCUCUGCUGUAAUGUGUAUCUAGACUGAGCUAGAAUUAUGAUGGGGUGUAAUUAGCAAGUUUGAUAUAUUUAAAAGAUACUCAGCAUCAUAUGAAGGGUUAACAUAAUCUAUGAAAAACAUACAGCGAUGACUCCAAAGGGAGCAAAACUCUGUACCUUGGAGACCCUAUAAAAAUCCAAGAUGGUACCGUGAACUGCAAAGGAAACACAGGUUGCGCCAGAUAACAGUAUGAGUAUAACUGAACAGUAAAGUUUAAAUGUACACUUCAAACUAAUUAAUAGUUGAUAUAUAUAUAUACCGUAUAUACUCGAGUAUAAGUCGACCCGAAUAUAAGUCGAGACCCCUAAUUUUACCCAAAAAAACUGGGAAAACGUAUUGACUGGAAUAUAAGACUAUGGUGGGAAAUGCAGCAGCUACUGG
rnacentral:lncRNA from 1 species